AUUAAUAAUAAGAAGGGGAAAAUCCAAUUUUUUUUAUGGAAGAACGCUUCAUGUGUGUUCCCUCACGCGUUCAUCCAUCAUCACCAAACUGUCAUCACCCGUCCUGCAAAUAAAAGACACCAAUAAUCAGGCCAUACCAACACAUACCUAUAGACAUACAUCACAUGAAAAAGACUCAAGAAAAAGAAGAGCAAUACAACUAUACAUUGACAUACAUAGAAAACGUUUGGGGACCACAAA
rnacentral:lncRNA from 1 species